UAAAAUGUUCAUUGAAAUCAAAAAACCUGAAUAUCCUUGAGUCCUUAACCCUUUCUUUUAUACGGGGUCCAAGCCAUGGUUGAGGGCACGUAUCAAAUCCAAACGAUCACUACUUGAUGUAAUUUUUGUAUCCAUAACUAUAUAAUCAAAAAAAAAAUUAAAACACAAAACAGACGGCAGAACAACAAAAACUAAGGAUACAUAAGAGAUAAAUCAGUAGCAAAAGACAAAGAUGCAAAGAUAAUGAAAUACUCAGUUGUACUUUUAAAAAGUAAAUCAUCCCUCUCACAGUCUCACUCAUAGCACUGAAUAAGUUCUCAAAAAAAAAAAAAAUCAAUGCAUUCCUCCAUAGAUUGCAUAACUUUAUAAUCAAAAAAAGAAGAAAUUAAAACACAAAACAGACUGCAGAACAACAAGAACUAAGGAUACAUAAGAGAUGCAAAAGCAGCAGACCUGAGGAAUUGGAGGAACCUGUGAUGCAUCAUGAGAACAUUAUGGAUUCACCGCUGCAAGUCACUUCACUAUUGCUAGCCAAUUCUGAGCCCUAAAUGGAGCCAUCAUCGGAGGCUGAACGCCCGUCUAACCUUCAUGUCCGGGAGCCAAUUCUGAGCCACAGAUGGAGUCUAUUCAUCUGGAGCCUGAUAACCACAUAAUAGUGCAUCCCUGGUGCAGGACAAUGUACCUCCGGUGCAGGACAGUGUACCUCUGGUGCGGACACGCAAAAUGAGGCGGCAAAUAGGUACUCCAAAGGCCUUUGAUGGCUACAAAGUUGAUAGUAUGGUCCAAAGGAUCAAGAUGCCGAGGAAGGAUGAGGACUGAUUUCGAAUUUAGAUUCAUUCUGCUGCGACUAUCUUGCACAAAUUUCAUUUGUGAUUCUUAUCUGGGCUGCGACCAGGAAUAUAACUUCACUGUUGAUGUCAAAGAAGCAGGCGGUCAAGACGAGGACAACGGGUUUUAGCUGCUGUACGAUAAAGGGAGAGUAAGCAUUGCUAUUGCUGCUUGUGUGGACAAUAGACCUAAACAAAAGCAGGGAAAAAGAAAGGGCAAGCCGCCUGUUCCAAAAGUCCUGAAGCCCGGUCAUUUUUAUUUGUGGUUAGGGAAAGGUUGUACAGCCUCCAAACUUUGACAAAGAAAAGGAAUACUUUCAAGAAGUUGAUGCUUUUGAGUUGCUGGAGGAGAGCCCCUCACCCAAAAACAUUGGUACAUGGGCCACUGGCAAUGGAACUAAAAAAAGGUGUCUGUAAUGCAUAUGCCAAUCUGCUUUAUGAUGGUUUGGGGAUAGUCAUCUAUCAUAUGCAGCCUUUUCCCUGUUUCUUCUGUUAGGGGAUUUUUACUACAGUUUGAUCCUGUGUCUGGAAAAGAAAAGUAAAAUUUUAAAUCUUUUUGGAUAAGAUGGAUUUUACAUUGCUGGAGAAUCAAAUUUGUUUGUAGUUACACUUUAUUAUCGCUAUUUUGGAGACAAUAUCAACAAAUAUGAUUCCAAAACUUGAGGAUGAUAUUCCAAAACUGCAAAAACUUUUGUUGGAUGAGGAGAGAGUGUUGGAGGAUAUUGUUGAGAAUUCAAAAGGUUGUGUCCUUUCCCUAGUGGUACACAACUGGAAGUUCUUUUUCAUUCUGUUUUUUCACAUUUUCUUCUUUUUUUUCAUUGCAUAUGAGUUCAUGGUCAACGAGUCCCACUCAGGCCUAGCUUCUGGAUCUUCCAAAGCUCCGAGGCUUUUCAUUAAAGAAAUGGUUAUGAGGAAUUUCAAACCUUACGCCGGCGAACAACGCGUUGGUCCUUUUCACAAGGUUUUCUCUUCAUUUUAGUUUCCCCAUCUUUACUUCUGUUUGCUUGGUUUCGUUUCUAGGAUCUGUUUUGGCUGCUGAGAAAUUGGAGGUGAAGAAGUGGAAUUCACUC